UAAAAAAUAUUAAAAGCAAAAUAUAAGACAAAUAACUGUAAUGUAAUGAUACAAUUUUCUUUUUAGGGAAGAUGGAAGGAAAAUUACACCAAAGACGAGAUGAAUGAAAAAAAAGCAAAAGAACUUCAUCAAAAGGAGCUACAGCAUCGGUACACACCGCAGGGUAAACGAAAGAGAUAUGACUAAAAUUGUUUGAGGGCCGACCGAGGUGUGUGGCAAUGCAGGCGCUGCCGCUUGGGAGGCCGCUGUCUUCCGGCAUUUCUAUGGCAGUGUGGGCGUGCUGCAUUCCAAGGACUCAGUGGCACUGCGGGCGCCGCAUUUCAAGGACUCAGUGGCACUGCGGGCACUGCAUUCCGAGGUCUGUGGCAAAGUGAGCGCCGCAUUUCAAGGACUCAGUGGCACUGCGGGCACUGCAUUCCGAGGUCUCUUUGGCACUGCGGGCGCCGCAUUUCAAGGACUCAGUGGCCCUGCGGGCACUGCAUUCCAAGGUCUCUGUGGCACUGCGGGUGCCACAUUCCAAGGACUCAGUGGCCCUGCGGGCACUGCAUUCCAAGGUCUCUGUGGCACUGCGGGUGCCACAUUCCAAGGACUCAGUGGCACUGCGGGGACUGCAUUCCGAGGUCUCUGUGGCACUGCGGGCACCGCAUUCUGAGGUCUCUGUGGCAAAGUGGGUGCCGCCACUCAGGAGGCCACCACAUAUUUUUUUAAACAAGAUUUUCCUUAUUUUUUUUAUUUAAACAUAAAUAUAUUUAGAAUGAUAUUUUGUAUUGUAUACAUUAGUUUUUGAAAAUAUAUUUUUGUGAUAUUGUGAUACAUUAUUCAGAGUGCCAUGUAAUUGAGAUAUUUAAUGAUUUUUUGUGAUAUUGAACUAUUAUUCAGAGUGCCAUGUAAUUGAGAUAUUUAAUGAUUUUUUGUGAUAUUGAACUAUUAUUCAGAGUGCCAUGUAAUUGAGAUAUUUGGUGAUGAUAAUUAUUGAAAAAUUGCCCUAGUUGAAUAUGUGAAUAGAUUAUUUUACCCA